UACGUAGGGGGCAAGCGUUGUCCGGAAUCAUUGGGCGUAAAGCGCGUGUAGGCGGCUCGGUAAGUCCGCUCUGAAAGUCCAGGGCUCAACCCUGGGAUGCGGGUGGAUACUGCCGGGCUCGAGUCCGGAAGAGGCGAGUGGAAUUCCCGGUGUAGCGGUGAAAUGCGCAGAUAUCAGGAGGAACACCAAUUGCGAAGGCAGCUCGCUGGGACGUUACUGACGCUGAGACGCGAAAGCGUGGGGAGCAAACAGG
rnacentral:rRNA from 1 species